UGGUAAAGAGCCGUCGUCGUUCAUUUUUCAGCAAGUCAUAGACGAGACUGUCCAGUCCUUCACUAUGCAGAUCGCUUUUGCGCUUUCUAAGAAUCUCUUCUCUCUGACGCAAUAUGUCGACGAGCUGUUCGUUGGGACAUCACUAUUGAGGAUGGUCAAGACUGUAGACGUACUGCGGGAGAAAUCACGGGCUAGUUGUUAGUGACCAAAGCCGAUUGAUGUCUUCAAACUGGAAUCUUAAGAUUGCCAGGAAUUCCCUCGUGUAACCUUCAUAAGCUGUGCUGAAUAGAGAGUGUGACACCAACAGGAUAUGAGUUUUAGAAUAUAAACGGGUUUCGAUUCGGUUAUAUUUUAGAACGUCGGGAAUUUGUUAACACAACACUGAUUAGCAUAGUGUGUACAAAAUCAAAUACAAAAAAGCUUUCUA